AUAUUAUUCUUAUGAUUAUUGUUGUUGUUCUUCUUCUUUAGUGAUAAUGUCGAUUACAAUUAAAAUUUUAAGUUACUGCGUACUCGUGACAUCGUUAAACAAUGAAGAAAGAAUUAAGUGCGUUUUCUAAAUAGGUUCUUUCAAGAUUUGUGUACACAAACUGUAAUCACGGUUAUCUUUAAUUUAUAAUGAGGUUUUGAACGUAACCUCUAUCCUCUGGAGUAUCGGUCCAACAAGAUCUAUCAGACAUGUCUGGUCCAGGUCUAAGUCGAAAUUUUCGCGCACGUAAUCCAAAAUCAGCUGCUCUAGUUGGAGGCGAUUUCUCUUUACUCACAGUGUCUGGGAUUAUAGCUGCAUCCUUGCGAGUAGCUUCAAAGCGGAAUCGACGCCCGUCAUCGC